rnacentral:lncRNA from 1 species
AGAGAGUUCGGUCCUUGGGACGAAAACGCUGCCAUGGAAGGGGCCGGCUUGAAGUCGAGCACUGUCCUUGCCGGGACAAUCUUCACCAGGGGGAAGCUGCCAUUUUGUCGAAGAUAAGGUGAGUCUGGUUUGUCUUGCAGAGAGAAACUCUUCACUUACUUCGUGGAGUUUAUGUAGGUAAGGACAGCGUUGGCAUUGUCCGCGUUGAUGGCAGUCCCCGGCAGCAUGUAUGCGUCGACCGAGACUUCAUUAGCCUGAGCAGCAGAGUUUCCGAGGAUAAAUCCCGCGGCGCCGGCUCGAAUGGCCUCUUGACUCUUCCCGACGCGGGUCCCGAGUCCUCUCAAGCAGAUCACCACCUUUCCGGCAACCUUGGAUGCGUCCAAAGUAUCCGGAAGGCACUGGCUGGAACAAGUAAGGAACUUUAGUCGUGUGCUGGUGGGAGAGAAGCUUUACCUGGCAUUCGCGACAGGUACGCUCGAGUUGCCAGCUCUUCCACCAUCGAUGAGCUCGUACCAGUUCGAUUCCGACAGUGACUUUGGAGCAAUACUCUUCCCCUGCAAAAAUGGAUACCCCGCUGUAAGGAUGGCGACAGACGAGCUAAUCGCGACGAGACGACGAGCCGGGAAAAAUCCAG